CGGGGGAGGCCGGAUCCUGGGCUGUGUCCCGGCGCCCUGUGCUCCGGAGCCUGCGCUGUUGGAUUCGAGCUCCCGGGCCGCGCAGCCCCCU
rfam:Canis lupus familiaris chromosome 27, whole genome shotgun sequence.